rnacentral:misc_RNA from 1 species
AUUAUUAUUAUUAUUAUUAGUGAGAAAUGUCAAUUUAUGCUAAAUUGUUAUCUUAUUUAUUUAUGUAUUUUUUUAAUUAAAAUUUUUAUGACACAAAAUUUAUGCAUCCCUAAAGUUUUGUUUUUAGAGCUACAUGGACCUGGUACAUAGGCAGCUUUUGAGUGUGGUGCAAAGUAAAUAACUUUAUUUUCUUGUUUUCAAUAUUAUUAUUAUUAUUUGUUCAAA